rnacentral:miRNA from 1 species
AGGCUGAGCCUGAUGGCACUGAG